UACGUAGGGUGCAAGCGUUGUCCGGAAUUAUUGGGCGUAAAGAGCUCGUAGGCGGUCUGUCGCGUCGGCUGUGAAAACCCGGAGCUCAACUCCGGGCCUGCAGUCGAUACGGGCAGACUGGAGUUCGGCAGGGGAGACUGGAAUUCCUGGUGUAGCGGUGAAAUGCGCAGAUAUCAGGAGGAACACCGGUGGCGAAGGCAGCUCGCUGGGACGGUACUGACGCUGAGACGCGAAAGCGUGGGGAGCAAACAGG
rnacentral:rRNA from 1 species